GACACUAUGGCCGAGUGGUUAAGGGUGAGUCUUUGUCUUUCGAGAGCGCAGGUUCGAAUCCUGCUGGUGUCG
rnacentral:tRNA from 1 species